AUUGAACGCUGGCGGCAGGCCUAACACAUGCAAGUCGAACGAGUGGCGGACGGGUGGGUAAUGUCUGGGAAACUGCCCGAUGGAGGGGGAUAACUACUGGACACGGUAGCUAAUACCGCAUACCCUCGGAUGUGCCCAGAUGGGCUUAGCUGGUAGGUGAGGUAACGGCGCACCUAGGCGACGAUCCCUAGCUGGUCUGAGAGGAUGACCAGCCACAAGGGAACUGAGACACGGUCCAGACUCGUACGGUAGGCAGCAGUGGGGAAUAUUGCACAAUGGGCGCAAGCCUGAUGCAGCCAUGCCGCGUGUAUGAAGAAGGCUUUCGGGUUGUAAAGUACUUGCAGCGGGGAGGCGUUACACGCAGAAGAAGCACCGGCUAACUCCGUGCCAGCAGCCGCGGUAAUAC
rnacentral:rRNA from 1 species